CACAUGAAACCUGCCAACUGUCCCUUAGACGUUGUCCCCGCCAGAAUGGUGAAGGAGGCUUUUAAUAGCACCAUUGGGGCAAGUCUUCUUACUCUUUUUAAUAUCUGUCGUAGUUUAG